GGGGCAGUGCGCGGCGGAAUGGUUACGCUAGCCGCUUUGUAAGCGGAUAAUUCUGAGUUCGAUUCCCAUCUGCUUCA
rnacentral:tRNA from 1 species